UGUUACAUGUAGCUUUGGCCACCGAACGUGAAGCGGUGGUUCACUUUUUUUAAGUGGAUAUGACCGACUAUGGAGGUGCUUAAGCUCUCCUUUGGGUCAGGAACAAGCACAUGUUUCCCCUUGGUGAUUUUCUUGAGUUUCUAAUCAAAUCUUUCAAAGAAAAAUAAGUUUAUGGUGAGUUUUAACUAGUUUUGAGAAGUUGUGGAGUUUGAGAACUUGUGAAGCUUGAAUCUUCAUUUCUUCAAGUUUGGGGUCACGCCAGCCUUUGUUCUUCAAAGGGUAAGAGUGAAUCCUUUGUUUUUAUCAUGUUUUAAAUGAGUUUGAUGAUGGGAAAGGGGAGUUGUGCUUGAGUAUGCAUAAGUUGUCCAUAUUAGGGUGUAUGGAUCCUAUGCUUUGUGUAUGGUUGUUGUGUGUUGUUUGUUGGAGUUUAAUUUAUUUGAAGCUCCUUUAUGCUUAUUGAAGUGUUUAUGCAUGUUUUAGAAGGGUUAAAUGCAUGUGUUGAGGUCUGAGCAGGUGAUGGAGGGAUUGGCAGGCGUCCUUGUGCACAAAACUGAGUUCUGGAUGAACUCAGGUUCGGCCCCCGAAAGUCCAAGUUAGGCCGCCGAACAUGCCUGACUUUCGUCUCUGGAAGGGACAUUCGGCCGCCGAAGGUGCCCCCGAAAGUGCCCUGUCCAGCCUUCCUUUGCAUGUUUUCUAUGUUUGAUCUAAGGUGUUUUAAGGGGUUUUAAGGGGAGAUGUUUAGCGGUAUGUCCGAGUAUGUUUGGUCCCUCAUUUGAGUCUAUCUGUGUAGGCACAGAGCAGAGGAACCAGAGAGAGCAGCAGUGAGUACUGCUCCAGAGUUUUCAGAGCCUGCAGAGUCAGUCAGUUCAGAUAGCCAGAGGUGAGUGGAACUACACUUAAUGCUUUUGAAUUGACCAAAUGACAUGUUUUUAGCAUCUCUCAGGCAUCAUGAUGAUAUCAUAGGGUGAUUGCAUUAGUAUCCACGAAUAUGUUGCAUUGCAUUGUUAUUUGAUGGUGUGAGUAAAUGCUGAAUGAUCCAAUAGUCACAGACAGGAAGUCCAGGAGCCUUUGACUACGCCCUGGCAAGUAUAGCAAAGACCAGGAGCCUUUGACUACGCCCUGGCAGGUAUAUAGUAAAGUCCAGGAGCCUUUGACUACGCCCUGGCAAUGGUAAGUACAAUGGUGUUAUAUACACAUAUACAUAUAUGACAGGAAGUCCAGGAGCCUUUGACUACGCCCUGGCACAGAGUUACUGGGACUAUGUGGUGACAGGUUUACUCUUGAUGUGAAAUGUUUGUGUUAUGACGCAUUCCAUGAGAGCAUCUGUUAAUGAAUUGUUUUACUGUUCUACUCACUGGGCUAUAGAGCUCAUCCCACUCCCUUACCCCAG
rnacentral:lncRNA from 1 species